AAGUCGUAACAAGGUUUCCGUAGGUGAACCUGCGGAAGGAUCAUUAUCGUGAAUCCACACGUAUUUACUUUUUUAUGGUGAAUCGUCUAAUUGUUUUUGUUUGUUUUUUUGUUUGGAUUGGAUGGAUCAUUCUUUUCAAACAAACACAACAAACACAACACAUUAAAACUUAUUAACCACUUGUAACCUUUUAAUUGUACUGAACAAAAAUAAACUCGUUUUUUGUUCUGUCUUCGGAUACGAACAAGACAAGUUUACGAUACGAAAUUGCUGAACUACUCUUAGCAACGGAUAUCUUGGUUCUC
rnacentral:misc_RNA from 1 species